rnacentral:tRNA from 1 species
GCCCUGGAUGACUAGUGGUUAGGCCUUGGUGCUCUCACCACCGUGGCCCGGGUUCGAUUCUCGACCAAAGCC